rnacentral:lncRNA from 1 species
UGUUUGAUUAUCACCCUUUUUUUUCUUUUUGUUUUCUCCUUUUUCUAGGUUUGCAUUGCCUCAUUUAUUAGUUGUUAUGUCUUCUUCAUUCUUUUAUUAUUUAUUGUACUUUGAUUUAGUGCACUUGAACUAAAGGCCUUUUGAAACAAACCAACCUCUAUGAGGUAGUAGUAAGGUUUAAGUACACUCUACCCUCUCCAGACCUAACUUAUGGGAUUUCAC